ACUGAGAUCGAUUGGUGCAUAGAUAUCAAGACAACCCACUCAAUUCAACUCUAGCACCAUUCGAAAUCAGUGCU
rnacentral:pre_miRNA from 1 species